rnacentral:rRNA from 1 species
GGGAACGGGGAUGAACUAGCCAUGAGAGUCAUUGUAGCAAUACAAGGCAGACGGCUCAGUAACGCGUAGUCAAUCUACCCUAUGGACGGGAAUAACCUCGGGAAACUGAGAAUAAUGCCCGAUAGAACAUUAUACCUGGAACGGUUUAUGUUUCAAAUGAUUUAUCGCCGUAGGAUGGGACUGCGGCCUAUCAGUUUGUUGGUGAGGUAAUGGCCCACCGAGACUAUUACAGGUACGGGCUCUGAGAGGAGUGGCCCGGAGAUGGGUACUGAGGCACGGACCCAGGCCCUAUGGGGCGCAGCAGGCGAGAAAACUUUGCAAUGUGCGAAAGCACGACAAGGUUAAUCCGAGUGGUUUCUGCUAAAGAAACCUUUUGCUAGUCCUAGAAACACUAGUGAAUAAGGGGUGGGCAAGUUCUGGUGUCAGCCGCCGCGGUAAAACCAGCACCUCAAGUGGUCAGGAUGAUUAUUGGGCCUAAAGCAUCCGUAGCUCGUUUUGUAAGUUUUCGGUUAAAUCCAUACGCUUAACGUAUGGGCUGCCGGGAAUACUGCAUAACUAGGAAGUGGGAGAGGUAGACGGUACUCGGUAGGAAGGGGUAAAAUCCUUUGAUCUAUUGAUGACCACCUGUGGCGAAGGCGGUCUACCAGAACACGUCCGACGGUGAGGGAUGAAAGCUGGGGGAGCAAACCGGAUUAGAUACCCGGGUAGUCCCAGCUGUAAACUAUGCAAACUCAGUGAUGCAUUGGCUUGUGGCCAAUGCAGUGCUGCAGGGAAGCCGUUAAGUUUGCCGCCUGGGAAGUACGUACGCAAGUAUGAAACUUAAAGGAAUUGGCGGGGGAGCACCACAAGGGGUGAAGCUUGCGGUUUAAUUGGAUUCAACGCCGGG